UUGGGGCUGUUCAGCCUGGAGAAGAGAAGCUGCGUGGAGACCUCAUAGCAGCUUCCAUGUCUGAAGGGGGCUACAAGGAUGCUGGAGAGGGACUCUUCAUCAGGGACUGUGGUGAUAGGACAAGGGGUGAUGGGUUCAGACUGAAACAGGGGAAACUGAGAUGAGCUCUUAGGCAGAAGCUCUUCCCUGGGAGGGUGCUGAGGCGCUGGCACAGGGUGCCCAGAGAAGCUGCGGCUGCCCCAUCCCUGGCAGCGUUCAAGGCCAGGGUGGACACAGGGGCUUGGAGCAAGCUGCUCUAGUGGAAGGGGUCCCUGCCUGUGGCAGGGGUUGGAGCUGGGUGAGCUUUAAGGCCCCUUCC